rnacentral:rRNA from 1 species
AUUGAACGCUGGCGGCAGGCUUAACACAUGCAAGUCGAGCGGAGUGAAGGUGCUUGCACUAUCACUUAGCGGCGGACGGGUGAGUAAUGCUUAGGAAUCUGCCAUUUAGUGGGGGACAACAUUCCGAAAGGAAUGCUAAUACCGCAUACGUCCUACGGGAGAAAGCAGGGGAUCUUCGGACCUUGCGCUAAAUGAUGAGCCUAAGUCGGAUUAGCUAGUUGGUGGGGUAAAGGCCUACCAAGGCGACGAUCUGUAGCGGGUCUGAGAGGAUGAUCCGCCACACUGGGACUGAGAAACGGCCCAGACGCCUACGGGAGGCAGCAGUGGGGAAUAUUGGACAAUGGGCGGAAGCCUGAUCCAGCCAUGCCGCGUGUGUGAAGAAGGCCUUUUGGUUGUAAAGCACUUUAAGCGAGGAGGAGGCUACUAGUACUAAUACUACUGGAUAGUGGACGUUACUCGCAGAAUAAGCACCGGCUAACUCUGUGCCAGCCGCCGCAGUAAAAC